UUGUUUGCUGACAUGUUCAUAUGAGCUGGUCAAUUUUUGACAAUUGUUUGAAAGUUCCAUGGUUUUGGUGCAAAAAAAUAGUUUGUACGUUUUUAUGAUAGCUUAUAUGAACAGAAAAAUAAAUAAAUAAAAUAACGUGUUUUGAUGAAGUCUUAUUAAUUAUUAUUUUACCAAACUUUAUGUUCAACGUCUAUCAGUUGGAGCUAGAAACGGCAAGUAUGAAUUUUCCUUCUGACAACUUUUUGAAAGACUUCUACAUCCCUGAUUACAUACUUGUUCCUGGCUCAAAGGGUGAGCAUCUUCCUGAUGUACCUGCAUGUCCGGUACUAGUUUUCAUCAACUCCAAAAGUGGUGGUCAGUUGGGUGGAGAACUUCUUAUCACAUGUCAUUCUCUUCUAAAUGGAAACCAGGUAUUUGUCAUUCUAUGAAUGUGGAAUUUAGACGGAGUACUUUAUUAGCUUCCAUCUGAGAAUCAGCCUCUUUUUUAUUUUUAUUAUAUAUAUAUCCCGGUUGUCUUUUCUGCAAAUUAUUAUUAGGUUUUCGAUUUGGGUGAAGAGGCUCCGGACAAGGUGUUACGCAGACUGUAUCUCACUCUAGAAACACUCAAGCUUAAUGGAGACGAAUUGGCCCCAAAGAUUCAGGAGAGACUGAGAAUAAUUGUAAGUUUAGUUACAAGUAUCAUGCACCAGAUAGAUAUCCUUAUUAGUUCUGUAUUGUACUAUGGCAUAGACCUGCUUAUCCCAUUUAUCCCGACUUUUCUGACACUAAGGACUUCAUCAGGUUGCAGGUGGGGAUGGCACAGCUGGCUGGCUGCUCGGGGUUGUUUCUGAUCUAAAAUUAUCUCAUCCACCACCAAUUGCAACAGUGCCCCUGGGAACAGGAAACAACCUCCCAUUUGCUUUUGGUUGGGUAGGCAUAAGCUUGUAUGAAGCACACAAUAUGCAAUUAGAAAGCAACUUGCAUGCACAGUGCUGUUAGCUCUCCAUGCUUAUCAUACUUUAUUUAUCUUAUAUUCUUGUCAAAAGUAAUGUUAAACCUUUAUAAACCAUUCAUGAAUGUUUUCCAGUUCACAAUCUUGGUCAAAGACCUAUGACUAAUCUGUCACCUUAAAACUGUUUUUGUGUAAAUAUUACAACUCAUGUGUUGCAAUGAAAUACCAGAAAUGGGUAAAUUAACAAUAUAUUAGUCUGUUCUGAUAUACUUUAUGGAUAGUACUGAUUCAUGAGCUUCGGUAUCUUGACGUGUCUUAAGUGUGAAUAGGCUCAUGGAUUUUAUUUAUUUAUUUUAUUUUUUCUGUAAGCGCUGUGCUUAAUUUUCAGUUUUGUGAUUUCAGGGAAAGAAGAAUCCAGGAACAGACCGUAAUUCUGUGCUGUCAUUCUUGAGUCAAGUAAAGGAAGCAAAAGAAAUGAAGAUAGACAGGUCAUGCAGUUCAAAUGGUCCCUCUUUUUUUUUUAAAGUUUAUAUUGAUAUGCUAUGGGUUGUUCACAACUCUUACUAUAUAAUUAUGUGCAGACCUGAUAUAUCCUUUAACUUCUUAAUUAUGGUUAUCGAGAAAAUGCAAGUUAGAUUUGAUGAGAGAUAUACAAAAAAUUUCUUUGUUACCAUCAUGGGUAUAUAUUGUACACCUUCUUUAGACUUUGUUCGAACAUCAAACUUACUUUGAUAGGGUGUGUUACUCACAAAUGAUGUACACCUGGGGAGAGGCUCGCUAAUGACAUAGUAGUGUUUUUCUCACAUUCUUAUAUAAUUUUAUACCCUUUCUUUUAUGCAAUCAUAAGAAUUUAGUUGAUUGUGGUACACUUUUUAUGAUUUCAGACAAACAGAGUUAGUUUCAAUGCGCAGUUUUAAUUACAGAAAUGUUAACUGGAGUAUCCUAUGAUUUACUUUAGGGUUAGAUGGAAUCUCCAGUGGAACGUAAACAAUCCUCUCAGAUUCAAUCUCCCUUGUAUUAUAUGUUCUACUGCAUAGAAGCUCUAGAAUACUGUAAUACGUGCCUGUAUAUAUAUAUAUAAUAUAUAUAUAUAUGUAUAUAUUAUAAUAUAUUUAUAUAUUUGUUUGCUAUUUUUUGUCUCUUUUUCCUUCAUCUUCGGAGCUCAGUGUAUGGUGCAUGACACUGUGCGACCACUUUGAAGAUGAUGUCGACUUUUGUCUUGCUUGAUAUACUUCAUCUUGUUGAAUUGUUCAUGAUCAAUAAUUUGAGGCGAGGUAAAUUAUUACCAAGUACAAGUAGUGUUUCAUGUUCAAUGAAGGUAGUAGAUAUCCAAUAAUUCGCUUUUGUGACGCGCCAUUGAUUCUCAAUUUAUUUCAUGGGUUGACUGAGGUGAUGUUUCAGGUCCAUUGUGGAGGUUCGUUGGUAUUGGAAUGAGCGUGUUUAACCAAAAAUGAUACCUGUAUUCAAUAAAAACAGAAAAGAAUAACAAGAAAUGUUUGUAUAUGUGGGCCCCUUUUUAUGUCCUUGUUGAAGUUUAUGGUUGGAACGGAGGUGUUUUGAAAAUCUUGAGGGACCGGUCCUUGGUUAUAAAAGGCUUUUCUUAAUAUUGUCUCUGGAAUCUUUGUUUAAUCUCAAUUCUUUUGUUGAUAUUAUUUAGAAGCAAUGGUUGCUUGAUUAUUUGCUCAAAUCUAUCAUGUCUCUGACUAUAUUGUGCUUGAUUAUUUCCUUGGUGUUUUCUUCUUAACAAUGUGUACAUGACAUGAGUUGCAUCUGGCAUAUUCUGUUUUCUGUGCGAAGAGAGAAGAGUUUGUGAUGACCAACUUACAGAUUCUCCUUAAUAUUUUUGAACUNNNNNNNNNNNNNNNNNNNNNNNNNNNNNNNNNNNNNNNNNNNNNNNNNNNNNNNNNNNNNNNNNNNNNNNNNNNNNNNNNNNNNNNNNNNNNNNNNNNNNNNNNNNNNNNNCAAACGAAUAUUCCCCGACAAUAAUGAAUAUUUUAUAACCAUUUGCUUAUUUUGAAAUACUUACGUAUUUUACCUAUAACUAUCCACAUUAAUCAAAUCAACCCUUACUAUUUCAAAAUAAUAAUUAGAGGAAAUUAAAUUUUAUUUAUUAAUUAUUUGGUGUCUUACAUCACUCACGUCACUUUCUUCUCUCAUUCUUUCAAUUUUCUCUCUCUUCUACAUUAUUUAUAGGGAAUUGAUAUUUUUACCAAGGCUCGGCUACUCACAUGAAUGUGGGUCCUGUUUACCAUUCAUGUGAGUGAUGUCUUGUGAAAAUAUCAAUUUCUCUUGUGAAAAUAUUAAUUCUUAUAAAAAAAUGAUAUUUUCACAAUGUCUCACCUCCAUAGAAUAUGGUUCCGUUUACUAUUCAUACCAGAGAGUUGUGAAAAUAUUAAUUGUGAAAUUAUCAAAUCCCAAAAUAUUUUAUUAAAACGUGUUACUUUAACCUUUAACCACACAUAAUUGUCAGGCCCCACCAAACUUGCUGCUACGACAUAUCCAUCUUUAGAAAUUAGAAACAAAGUCCCAGAUGAAUCAACAAAAUCAUUAAUAACCAACGAGUAAAUAAAUACAUAUAUUUGGAUUAAGCACAUGUUCACCUCCGACGUCUCUGUUACUUCUUCUCUGAAUCUGACAUUUCCAGAUCUGAAUUCCCUCAAUUAUCUCUCUCUCUUCCGCUGUAAAAAAUUUCCAGGUUUUGUUUCUGCCUUCUCUUUUAAUUUUGUAGUUGUUUCACUUUUUCCUUUUACAAUCAGUCUGAACAAAUGCUUCUCGAUGGAUAUUUUUCAUCUUUUCUGCUUCUCUGUCGAUAUAUAUAUAUAUAUAUAUAUAUAUAUAUAUAUAUAUAUAUAUGCCCGAUAAAAUUAGAAUUUUACACCAUUUAAUAAUACCAUGCCAGGAAAUUUAGAAAAAAAAUUAGCUAAACAGUUUUACCAGGGUAAAUAAUAAAUAUUAAAUCAGUCAAUAUAAUCCAAAUUUCUUAUUUUCUCCUAAAUUCCCUAUGGUGUUAUUGGAGAGUAUUUUGCAUGUCAUCCGUAUAGAAUUUAAUUCCAUAUAUGUUUGGUUGCAUUUUUUUUAUACAACUGUGGACUAGAAUUAUGCUUCUUUUUUUUGGCUCGUUUACCACUUAGACCGUUUGAAUUACUUGUAUAGAUUGGUUCUUAAUAAUAAGUGAAAUUGAUCAUAAUAAAUAAGCCAUGUAGUUUGUUUGUGUUUUUUUUUAAUAAAAAAAUUGUAUAUUUGUCCAAUUAUAAUUGAUGACAGUUCUGUAUAAUCUCCUUAUUAUACUUGCUUUUAUUUUUGGGUUUGAAUGUAAAUCCAUUGUAGAUUCUGGUGGUUGAAAUGUACAUGUGAUGCAACAAAGAAUCUUCUAUUCUCUUUACCUAUCCUUUAUUAUGGAAUGGAUGGGAUUAAUUCAAUAAUCUCAUAAUCCGAUACUGAUUAUUGUUUAAAUGAUUUUCUUAUAAUACUUAAUUUGAAGUUUGUACAAGUCACUAUGAUUUAUGAAAGUUAUGUGUUUUUCCUUGGCUCAAAAAUUGAAGCUAACUUGUUUGCUGACAUGUUCAUAUGAGCUGGUCAAUUUUUGACAAUUGUUUGAAAGUUCCAUGGUUUUGGUGCAAAAAAAUAGUUUGUACGUUUUUAUGAUAGCUUAUAUGAACAGAAAAAUAAAUAAAUAAAAUAACGUGUUUUGAUGAAGUCUUAUUAAUUAUUAUUUUACCAAACUUUAUGUUCAACGUCUAUCAGUUGGAGCUAGAAACGGCAAGUAUGAAUUUUCCUUCUGACAACUUUUUGAAAGACUUCUACAUCCCUGAUUACAUACUUGUUCCUGGCUCAAAGGGUGAGCAUCUUCCUGAUGUACCUGCAUGUCCGGUACUAGUUUUCAUCAACUCCAAAAGUGGUGGUCAGUUGGGUGGAGAACUUCUUAUCACAUGUCAUUCUCUUCUAAAUGGAAACCAGGUAUUUGUCAUUCUAUGAAUGUGGAAUUUAGACGGAGUACUUUAUUAGCUUCCAUCUGAGAAUCAGCCUCUUUUUUAUUUUUAUUAUAUAUAUAUCCCGG
rnacentral:lncRNA from 1 species